GACGAACGCUGGCGGCGUGCCUAAUACAUGCAAGUCGAGCGCAGGAAAUCGACGGAACCCUUCGGGGGGAAGUCGACGGAAUGAGCGGCGGACGGGUGAGUAACACGUAAAGAACCUGCCCUCAGGUCUGGGAUAACCACGAGAAAUCGGGGCUAAUACCGGAUGGGUCAUCGGACCGCAUGGUCCGAGGAUGAAAGGCGCUUCGGCGUCGCCUGGGGAUGGCUUUGCGGGGCAUUAGCUAGUCGGUGGGGUAAUGGCCCACCAAGGCGACGAUGGAGAUCCGACAGGAGAGGGUGAGAGGGAAAGCUAGGAUAGAGACAGGGCCCAGAGGGGUAGAGGAGGAAGCAGGAGAGAGUCUUGCAAAAUGGACGAAAGUCUGAUGGAGCAAAGCCGCGUGAACGAUGAAGGGCGUCGGGUCGUAGAGUUCUGUUGUAAGGGAGGAACAAGGGCCGGAGGAAAUGGCGGCACCUUGACGGUACCUUGCGAGAAAGCCGCGGCUAACUACGUGCCAGCCGCCGCGGUAA
rnacentral:rRNA from 1 species